rnacentral:rRNA from 1 species
UACGUAGGUGUCAAGCGUUGUCCGGAUUUAUUGGGCGUAAAGCGCCCGCAGGCGGCUUGCCAAGUUCGAUGUGAAAUCUCCCGGCUCAACUGGGAGGGUGCAUCGAAAACUGGCAGGCUUGAGGCAGGGAGAGGGAUGUGGAAUUCCAGGUGUAGUGGUGAAAUGCGUAGAUAUCUGGAGGAACCCCAGUGGCGAAGGGGGCAUCCUGGCCCUGUCCUGGCGCUCAGGGGCGAAAGCGUGGGGAGCAAACCGG